UACAGAGGGUGCAAACGUUGCUCGGAAUCAUUGGGCGUAAAGCGCACGUAGGCGGCCUAGCAAGUGGGGAGUGAAAGCCCUCGGCUUAACCGAGGAAGUGCUUUCCAAACUACUAGGCUUGAAUACUGGAGAGGGUCGCGGAAUUCCCGGUGUAGAGGUGAAAUUCGUAGAUAUUCGCAAGAACACCAGUGGCGAAGGCGGCUCACUGGCCCGGUACUGACGCUGAGGUGCGAAAGCGUGGGGAGCAAACAGG
rnacentral:rRNA from 1 species